AAACACCUCAAGUCGACGCAAAAAGCUCGUCCACAAAAUAAACAGCAUAUAUGUUUGUUUCUUUUUUUUUUUUUCCCCAACACUAAAAUCUCACCAGACAAAUAACGCACAUUAAAACAUCUCAUCAGAUGAGAUAAUCAGAUUAUAAUCGGAACAAACCGUUUGAUCGUGUGGAUACUGUAACACUUGAAUGUCUACGCACCGGCGAUACGGGACUAAUGAUUAUAUUUUAAAUGAAAGUGUUAUAGCCGUCCAUCUCCCCGUUCGGUAUGUGCCACGGGCAGAUAUCUGGGUUAUUUCAAAAUAUAUCCAAACACAUGGAAAAUGUGGCUGCUUCAGUCCUUCUGCCUCUUCUGCUUCUCGGAGGUGUCGGAGGAGAAAGUAUAAAUAGCGAAAGAGCGAAUCCCGAGGGGGGGAAAAAAAUGCAAGUCCGAUCACACACGAUAUCUGUUAGGUUUGGACAAAAUUCUCCCCCAGGUCUCAAAAGAGCUUGAUUUCACAUUAUCGUUGCAAGCAUCGAAGUUCGAAGCAACUUUAUGAAUCCUUGGGGCAUCGUGGAGAUGUCCCCGGUGGUACAUACCCAACUUCUUCGGUGCAGGUUCGUGCGUGAUCAUCGUUACCCUUGAGCUACUAACUUCAGAAGCACUGUCCAGUACUAAGUUAAUUCUCAGCAUGAAUGUGGGGCACCGAACAUGAUGAUGUUCGGAUCCGGCUGGUUGCACCAACCAGGCAUGAAUCGUUGUUCCCACUUUUGCACGUUCUUCUGCACGGGUCCGGAAGCCAAAGAACUGCUGCUGGGAUGAAGUGCAGAGAGAAGUCCUCCUUCGGAGCAGGCUGGUAGCAUAUAAAAAACCGCCUCUGCUGAUGUUGUUUCAGCGGUGCAGGGAUAAACCAUCAUGGGGAAAAAAGCCUUACAUCAUCUUAAAGGAAAAUGAAGAGCCGCCGAAGGGUGCUGGCCGCUCGCAGCCUCUGAUGAUUUCAGCACCACGGACAGAGGAUCCCGGCGACUGCGCGCCCCUUUCGCUCAAAGUUUCGACAUCCCUUCAGUUUAAAGAUGGCAGUGGAGCUGCAGGAGCUUUUUAUACCGAACCAAGCAGACUUUAACCCAGAGACACA
rnacentral:lncRNA from 1 species